CCUACGGGGGGCAGCAGUGGGGAAUAUUGGACAAUGGGGGCAACCCUGAUCCAGCCAUGCCGCGUGUGUGAAGAAGGCCCUCGGGUUGUAAAGCACUUUCAGUGAGGAAGAACGCCUGGUGGUUAAUACCCAUCAGGAAAGACAUCACUCACAGAAGAAGCACCGGCUAACUCCGUGCCAGCAGCCGCGGUAAUACGGAGGGUGCGAGCGUUAAUCGGAAUUACUGGGCGUAAAGCGCGCGUAGGUGGCUUGAUAAGCCGGUUGUGAAAGCCCCGGGCUCAACCUGGGAACGGCAUCCGGAACUGUCAAGCUAGAGUGCAGGAGAGGAAGGUAGAAUUCCCGGUGUAGCGGUGAAAUGCGUAGAGAUCGGGAGGAAUACCAGUGGCGAAGGCGGCCUUCUGGACUGACACUGACACUGAGGUGCGAAAGCGUGGGUAGCAAACAGGAUUAGAUACCCGGUAGUC
rnacentral:rRNA from 1 species